rnacentral:rRNA from 1 species
GAUGAACGCUAGCGGCAGGCUUAAUACAUGCAAGUCGAACGGUAAGUUUGGUAGCAAUAUCAAACCAAGAGUGACGUACGGGUGCGUAACACGUAUGCAACCUACCUUGUACAGGAGUAUAGCUCGGGGAAACUCGAAUUAACCCUCCAUGAGAUCAUAGAAUGGCAUCAUUUAGUGAUUAAAACUCAGGUGGUACAAGAUGGGCAUGCGUCUGAUUAGAGUUGGCGGGGUAAUGCCCACCAAGACGAUGAUCAGUAGGGGACCGU